CCAUCUUCAACCUUCUUCUUGCCAUUGAUAUUCUUUGGAGGGGAGAUUAGAGCCGUUUGAAGGGAGUUGUGAGAUCUUUCGAGAUUUCAAGGCUUCUUAGGACUUAUCUUUUAAUUUCUUACUGUCAAUUCUUUCUUUAUUUCUACUUGUGCUGAAUCAUUAUCUAAUCUAUUUUCUGUUCUUAUUGUGUUUUCAGCCUUUUUCUAUCUUAAGGAAUCAGCCCAAAAAUCCCCAAUUUCUAGGGUUUUUCCAUACUCUUUUUGGGUGAAAUUAGAUUGUCGAAAUUUGAGGAAAACUAUCUUGGUGUUCAAUUGGGCAGAAUCACAAUCUCCUUGAGGGUUUCAAGAACCCUAACACUUAUUUCUAUUCUCAAUUUGAUUCUUUACUGAUUUGGGGAUUUUAUUUCAGAUCUG
rnacentral:lncRNA from 1 species